rnacentral:misc_RNA from 1 species
GGAAAAACAAGACGUCGAUGCAGUGAAGAAGGGUAAUGAGUGUGGACUUGUGAUAGACAGUUGGGACGAUUUCCAGGUUGGAGACGUCGUGCAGUGCUUGGAGCAAGUAGUAAGAAAGCCCAAGUUCAUUUCGUCUGAGAGUGGUGCCGUUAGAAUCGAGUGCUGAAGCUUUUUUACCUUGUCGGCCAAAUAAAGGGUCAGUAAAGUUCACUCUACUUUCACUUGA